UAAGAUACCUGGCAGGGAGGACAUCAUGACCAUGAAGGUGAUUUUCCCAGGGUAAGGCUCAUCCAUUGCAGGGGUGUGCUGACCCCUGCAAUUUCCCCAAAUGCGGGGAAAUCGACUGCAUAAUUUGUGGGAGCAACAGUCACUGGAGGAGUACUGUGU